GGCUUAGAGUUUGAUCAUGGCUCAGGACAAACGCUGGCGGCGCGCCUAACACAUGCAAGUCGAACGGAGUUUGUUGGAUUGAUCCUUCGGGAGAUUGAUAGCAAACUUAGUGGCGGACGGGUGAGUAACACGUGAGCAACCUGCCUUACAGAGGGGGAUAACGUUCUGAAAAGGACGCUAAUACCGCAUAACAUAUUGAGGGGGCAUCCUCUUAAUAUCAAAGGAGCAAUCCGCUGUAAGAUGGGCUCGCGUCCGAUUAGGCAGUUGGCGGGGUAACGGCCCACCAAACCGACGAUCGGUAGCCGGACUGAGAGGUUGAACGGCCACAUUGGGACUGAGACACGGCCCAGACUCCUACGGGAGGCAGCAGUGGGGGAUAUUGCACAAUGGGGGAAACCCUGAUGCAGCGACGCCGCGUGAGGGAAGAAGGUCUUCGGAUUGUAAACCUCUGUCUUCGGUGACGAACAAAGACGGUAGCCGAGGAGGAAGCCACGGCUAACUACGUGCCAGCAGCCGCGGUAAUACGUAGGUGGCAAGUGUUGUCCGGAAUUACUGGGUGUAAAGGGAGCGUAGGCGGGAAGACAAGUCGGGUGUUAAAUCUAUCGGCUCAACUGGUAGCAGCACUCGAAACUGCCUUUCUUGAGUGAAGUAGAGGUAAGCG
rnacentral:rRNA from 1 species